rnacentral:rRNA from 1 species
AUUGAACGCUGGCGGCAGGCUUAACACAUGCAAGUCGAGCGGGGAAGGGUAGCUUGCUACCUGACCUAGCGGCGGACGGGUGAGUAAUGCUUAGGAAUCUGCCUAUUAGUGGGGGACAACAUUCCGAAAGGAAUGCUAAUACCGCAUACGCCCUACGGGGGAAAGCAGGGGAUCUUCGGACCUUGCGCUAAUAGAUGAGCCUAAGUCAGAUUAGCUAGUUGGUGGGGUAAAGGCCUACCAAGGCGACGAUCUGUAGCGGGUCUGAGAGGAUGAGCCGCCACACUGGGACUGAGACACGGCCCAGAAUCCUACGGGAGGCAGCAGUGGGGAAUAUUGGACAAUGGGCGGAAGCCUGAUCCAGCCAUGCCGCGUGUGUGAAGAAGGCCUUUUGGUUGUAAAGCACUUUAAGCGAGGAGGAGGCUACCGAGAUUAAUACUCUUGGAUAGUGGACGUUACUCGCAGAAUAAGCACCGGCUAACUCUGUGCCAGCCGCCGCGGUAAAAC